rnacentral:rRNA from 1 species
GACAGAGGGUGCAAACGUUGUUCGGAAUUACUGGGCGUAAAGCGCGUGUAGGCGGCUUGGAAAGUCGGGUGUGAAAGCCCUGGGCUCAACCCAGGAAGUGCACUCGAAACUUCCUCGCUUGAGUGUCGGAGAGGAAAGCGGAAUUCUCGGUGUAGAGGUGAAAUUCGUAGAUAUCGAGAGGAACACCGGUGGCGAAGGCGGCUUUCUGGACGACAACUGACGCUGAGACGCGAAAGCGUGGGUAGCAAACAGG